UAGUUACAUAUGCUGAGAACAAGACUGC
rnacentral:sRNA from 1 species